ensembl:rRNA 5S_rRNA 5S ribosomal RNA
GACAUUUGGUAGAGACUGUUGAAGCCACCUGGUCCCAGCAGACCCCAGAAGGCGGCCACAUUCGCUGGUGUUGGAACAAGGUCGUUAAGGGUGAAGCCUGGUGCCAGAUGUGU